AGUGAACGCUGGCGGUAGGCCUAACACAUGCAAGUCGAACGGCAGCACAGUAAGAGCUUGCUCUUCGGGUGGCGAGGGGCGGACGGGGGGGGAAUACAUCGGAAUCUACUUUUUCGUGGGGGAUUACGGAGGGAAACUUAAGCUAAUAACGCAAACGGCCUACGGGGGAAAGCCGGGGAUCUUCCGACCUUGGCGGGAUGGAUGAGGCGAUGUCGGAUUAGCUAGUUGGCGGGGUAAAGGCCCACCAAGGCGACGAUCCGUAGCUGGUCUGAGAGGAUGAUCAGCCACACUGGAACUGAGACACGGUCCAGACUCCUACGGGAGGCAGCAGUGGGGAAUAUUGGACAAUGGGCGCAAGCCUGAUCCAGCCAUACCGCGUGGGUGAAGAAGGCCUUCGGGUUGUAAAGCCCUUUUGUUGGGAAAGAAAAGCAGCAGGUUAAUACCCCGCUGUUCUGACGGUACCCAAAGAAUAAGCACCGGCUAACUUCGUG
rnacentral:rRNA from 1 species